rnacentral:lncRNA from 1 species
GUUGUCAACCAUGAAAUUGAGCGAAUUCAAGAUAGUGUGUAAUUCUCGUAUGAUGUUUCCCCAGCAUCUUUGCAGACAAGCAAAUGGAUGUCAUCACACCUUCCUAAACCCCCUUAUAGAUCACUGUUAAAUCUUGGAUGAAUUGAUAGGGAUGGUUUGAAGCUGGUAAUUUUUAGGAACAAAUGUCUUCGGACUUCCUACAAUACCUUGUCUGUACUUGUAAAGAAAAACUCAAAAUAACGUGUUUGCUUUGAGCAGAACCUUUCAUGUGCAGACCUGUGGCCAUGAGUGAAAUGUGUAGAAAUAUUAAAACAUGUCAAAAUGUUAGAAAUUAUUAUAAAUUAAGGAAUGUAUCUC